rnacentral:rRNA from 1 species
GACGAACGCUGGCGGCGUGCUUAACACAUGCAAGUCGAACGGUGAAGCGCCUUCCUUUUUGGUGGGUGUGGAUGAGUGGCGAACGGGUGAGUAACACGUGAGUAACCUGCCCCCUUCUUCUGGAUAACCGCAUGAAAGUGUGGCUAAUACGGGAUAUUCUGGGUCUGUCGCAUGAUGGGUCUGGGAAAGAUAUUGUUUCGGUGGGGGAUGGGCUCGCGGCCUAUCAGCUUGUUGGUGGGGUGAUGGCCUACCAAGGCGGUGACGGGUAGCCGGCCUGAGAGGGUGGACGGUCACACUGGGACUGAGACACGGCACAGACUCCUACGGGAGGCAGCAGGGGGGAAUAUUGCACAAUGGGAGGAAGCAUGAUGCAGCGACGCCGCGUGAGGGAUGGAGGACUUCGGGUUGUGAACCUCUUUCGCAAGUGAAGCAGGCCUGCCUCGUUUGUGGGUGGGUUGACGGUAGCUGGAUAAGAAGCGCCGGCUAACUACGUG